rnacentral:rRNA from 1 species
CAGCAGCCGCCGUAAUACGUAGGGUNCAAGCGUUAAUCGGAAUUACUGGGCGUAAAGCGUGCGCAGGCGGUUGUGCAAGACNGAUGUGAAAUCCCCGRGCUUAACUUGGGAAUUGCAUUGGUGACUGCACGGCUAGAGUGUGUCAGAGGGGGGUAGAAUUCCACGUGUAGCAGUGAAAUGCGUAGAGAUGUGGAGGAAUACCGAUGGCGAAGGCAGCCCCCUGGGAUAACACUGACGCUCAUGCACGAAAGCGUGGGGAGCAAACAGGAUUAGAUACCCUGGUAGUCCACGCCCUAAACGAUGUCAACUAGUUGUUGGGGAUUCAUUUCCUUAGUAACGUAGCUAACGCGUGAAGUUGACCGCCUGGGGAGUACGGUCGCAAGAUUAAAACUCAAAGGAAUUGACGG